GGCUGGACAAAGGUUUCAGUUCAGGCUCUCAGUCUGACUCUUUGUGACCCCAUGGACUGUAGCCCACCAGGCUUCCCUGUCCCUGGACAAAGGUUUACUACAUGAAUACAUUUCUGAGUGAAGGAUAGACUGCAGUUCAUUCCAGAAUGUCUGUAUGGAUGGGCUUCUCAAGGAAUGAGACAGAAGUGGAAGGAAGGCUGGCAAACUAGCAGCAUGGACAUGAAGAUCACCCAACUUGCAGAAGUUCUGGAUGAUAUAAUUGUUUCAUGUAUGUCAUUUCCUCUCUAACCCCUAUUCAGCUGGCUCUUCUGCACUUCCUCUGAUUUUG
rnacentral:lncRNA from 1 species